GCGGCAAACGGGUGAGUAAUAUCUGGGAAUCUACCCAAAAGAGGGGGAUAACUACUAGAAAUGGUAGCUAAUACCGCAUAAUGUUGAAAAACUAAAAUGGGGGACCUUUUUAGGCCUCAUGCUUUUGGAUGAGCCCAGACGAGAUUAGCUUGUUGGUAAGGUAAAAGCUUACCAAGGCUACGAUCUCUAGCUGGUCUGAGAGGAUAGCCAGCCACACUGGAACUGAGACACGGUCCAGACUCCUACGGGAGGCAGCAGUGGGGAAUAUUGCACAAUGGGCGAAAGCCUGAUGCAGCUAUGCCGCGUGUAUGAAGAAGGCCUUAGGGUUGUAAAGUACUUUCAGCGGGGAAGAAAAAAAUAAAAAUAAUACUUUUAU
rnacentral:rRNA from 1 species